rnacentral:lncRNA from 1 species
UUCAACAUUAUUUGUCUAAUGAUCAAAGGGUUUCAAAAUUUGUAAUUUUAAUAGUCGAUAUGAGGUGUUUUCUCGUUUAACGUCGUAAAAAUAUCCAAAUCAAUUGAAUUUUUGUUAGAAAAUUCUUUAAACUAUUUAAAACAAAAUCUAUACUCUUGAUCAUGAUUACAAGACUCCUAUCAUCAUUGUUUAAAGAAUAUUCAUUUUUAGCCGUUCAUUUUUUUGUCCACUAGAUUGAUAAGAGAACAAUAUCGAAAAUAUAUAAAAUUUGAUUUCUAAACACUUCAAGUGGUAUAGAUUAUGAUCAAUGGUGCCAAUAGUCGAUUUGGAGGCUCCAUCAGCGAAAAUAAAUGGGUGGUAACGGAGCCCGUUUGCUAUUGAUAGUAUUCUAGCUCAACUAUAUAUAUAUAUAUAUAUAUAGUCCGGCUACUAUACUAUUAAUAGCACGAAGCACUUGGUGCUACCAAGUUUUCCGCCAUUAGAGGUCAACCGUUGACCUUUCUUUGGCGCUCUAGAGGUGGAGUGUACCUGGUGCGGUCCAGAGGUGGAGUCUACGGACCGCAUUUUUUCUAGCAACUAAACAUUAGAAUUCUACUUUUCAACGAAAAAAAAAAAAAUUGAGAUAGUUUAUAUGCAACCAAACACUCCCUUGGGACAUUUCGUUUUCUCUGAAUCUAUAAAAAAAAAUUUCAAGAAAAUUUGUUUACGAGCAACUAAACAUCGGAAUUCUACUUUUCAACCGAAAAAUUUU